UCUUUUGUGACCUACAAAUAAUAAUCGUCUCAGCGGUGUCAAUGCUAUUUUGUUUUUCGAACAAAAAUAAUAUCAUUUGGAAGAAGCUUCUCCGACAAUGUUAACAGCUUUUUCGCAAUCAAGUUUACAAUAAUGUCUGAAUGUUGCAAGUGGAAUCUUUUUUCUAAUCGUUACGUUGAAAAUUAUCUAUUACCAAUAAACAUGAAAUCGGAAAUUUAUUGCAAAUCGAUAUUCCAUAGGAGACGUAGAAGGUGGAACUGUAUUAAAGGAUAAACACCAGAGAUUGGUGUCAUUUGUUGAUUGGGUAAUUGGGAACUGAUACUUCAAGGAAUUACUUAAUUCUUUAUUGAAAAUUAAAGAAUACUGUCAUGUUUUAAACGUCAAAUUAAACCGUCAAGCUAACAAUCAAAUACAAAUAACAUUCGCGUACUUGAGGCCAUAGAGUUUACGUCUGAGGUGUUCUGUAAAGUUAGGUUAUAAGGUUAUAAUUGAUAGGUGGCUACCCCGCGGACGGCACUCAAAAGUAGGUUGCGUGCCACACGGACGGGAGUUUUUGCAAUGGCAAACAGGCGGCUGUCAAAUAUAUACGACUGUGGAAAAAGUUGUUUUUAUUGAAGAAAUAAUCAAACAAUACAAAAUUAACUAAAACUCUUGGUAAAGCAAAAAUAU